rnacentral:rRNA from 1 species
CUGAAGACUCUGCUUGACUAGCUGAGAGGAGGUGCAUGGCCGUCGUCAGUUCGUACUGUGAAGCAUCCUGUUAAGUCAGGCAACGAGCGAGACCCACGCCAACAGUUGCCAGCAUGUCCUCCGGGAUGAUGGGGACACUGUUGGGACCGCCUCUGCUAAAGAGGAGGAAGGAAUGGGCAACGGUAGGUCAGCAUGCCCCGAAUUAUCCGGGCUACACGCGGGCUACAAUGGUCAGGACAAUGGGUAUCGACACCGAGAGGUGGAGGCAAUCUCCUAAACCUGUCCUUAGUUCGGAUUGUGGGCUGCAACUCGCCCACAUGAAGCUGGAAUCCGUAGUAAUCGCGUUUCAAAAUAGCGCGGUGAAUAUCGUCCCUGCUCCUU